rnacentral:rRNA from 1 species
CAGCCGCCGCGGUAAGACAGAGGAUGCAAGCGUUAUCCGGAAUGAUUGGGCGUAAAGGGCGCGUAGGCGGACUGAUAAGUCAGGGGUGAAAUCCCAAGGCUCAACCUUGGAACUGCCUUUGAUACUGUUUGUCUUGAGUUCGAGAGAGGUAAGUGGAACUGCGAGUGUAGAGGUGAAAUUCGUAGAUAUUCGCAAGAACACCAGUGGCGAAGGCGGCUUACUGGCUCGAAACUGACGCUGAGGCGCGAAAGCGUGGGGAGCAAACAGGAUUAGAGACCCCGGUAGUCCCUGUCUCUUAUAC